rnacentral:rRNA from 1 species
UACGUAGGUGGCAAGCGUUGUUCGGAGUUACUGGGCGUAAAGGGUGUGUAGGCGGUUCUUUAAGUUUGGGGUGAAAUCUCCCGGCUCAACCGGGAGGGUGCGCCGAAUACUGAGGGACUUCGAGUGCGGGAGAGGAAAGUGGAAUUCCUGGUGUAGCGGUGAAAUGCGUAGAUAUCAGGAGGAACACCGGUGGUGUAGACGGCUUUCUGGACCGUAACUGACGCUGAGACACGAAAGCGUGGGUAGCAAACAGG